ACCCGCUGAACUUAAGCAUAUCAAUAAGCGGAGGAAAAGAAACUAACAAGGAUUCCCCUAGUAACUGCGAGUGAAGAGGGAAAAGCUCAAAUUUAAAAUCUGGCAGCCUCAGGUUGUCCGAGUUGUAAUUUAGAGAAGUGUUACCCGCGCUGGACCGUGUACAAGUCUCCUGGGAUGGAGCGUCAUAGAGGGUGAGAAUCCCGUCUUUGACACGGACUACCAGGGCAUUGUGGUGCGCUCUCGAAGAGUCGCGUUGUUUGGGAAUGCAGCGCAAAAUGGGUGGUAAAUUCCAUCUAAAGCUAAAUAUUGGCGAGAGACCGAUAGCGAACAAGUACCGUGAGGGAAAGAUGAAAAGAACUUUGGAAAGAGAGUUAAACAGUACGUGAAAUUGCUGAAAGGGAAACGCUUGUAGUCAGUCGCGUUUGCCGGGGAUCAGCUCUGCUUUUGUGGGGUGUACUUCCUGGUUAACGGGUCAGCAUCAGUUUCGAUCGCCGGAAAAGGGUUUGAGGAAUGUGGCAACCUCGGUUGUGUUAUAGCCUCUUAUCGUAUACGGCGGCUGGGACUGAGGAACUCAGCACCCUCUGGUGUGCUUAGGAUGCUGGCAUAAUGGCUUUAAGCGACCCGUCUUGAAACACGG
rnacentral:rRNA from 1 species